UACGAAGGGGGCUAGCGUUGUUCGGAAUCACUGGGCGUAAAGCGCACGCAGGCGGUUUGAUAAGUCAGGGGUGAAAUCCCGGAGCUCAACUUCGGAAUUGCCUUUGAUACUGUCUAUCUUCGAGUUCGGGAGAGGUUGGCGGAAUUCCUAGUGUAGAGGUGAAAUGCUUAGAUAUGUUACAGAACACCAAUUGUGAAGACAGCUAACUAAGCGAUGAUUGACGCUGAGGCACGAAAGCGUGGGGAGCAAACAGG
rnacentral:rRNA from 1 species